rnacentral:rRNA from 1 species
GAUGAACGCUAGCUACAGGCUUAACACAUGCAAGUCGAGGGGCAGCAUGAACUUAGCUUGCUAAGUUUGAUGGCGACCGGCGCACGGGUGAGUAACACGUAUCCAACCUUCCGUUUACUCAGGGAUAGCCUUUCGAAAGAAAGAUUAAUACCUGAUAGUAUGGUGAGAUUGCAUGAUAGCACCAUUAAAGAUUUAUUGGUAAACGAUGGGGAUGCGUUCCAUUAGGUAGUAGGCGGGGUAAACGGCCCACCUAGCCGACGAUGGAUAGGGGUUCUGAGAGGAAGGUCCCCCANAUUGGAACUGAGACACGGUCCAAAACUCCUACGGGAGGCAGCAGUGAGGAAUAUUGGUCAAAUGGACGAGAGUCUGAACCAGCCAAGUAGCGUGCAGGAUGACGGCCCUAUGGGUUGUAAAACUGCUUUUAUAAGGGAAUAAAGUGGGAGUCGUGACUCUUUUUGCAUGUACCUAUGAAUAAGGACCGGCUAAAUUCCGUGCCAGCAG